GAUGAACGCUGGCGGCGUGCCUAAUACAUGCAAGUCGAGCGAACGGACGAGAAGCUUGCUUCUCUGAUGUUAGCGGCGGACGGGUGAGUAACACGUGGAUAACCUACCUAUAAGACUGGGAUAACUUCGGGAAACCGGAGCUAAUACCGGAUAAUAUUUUGCACCGCAUGGUUCAAAAGUGAAAGACGGUCUUGCUGUCACUUAUAGAUGGAUCCGCGCUGCAUUAGCUAGUUGGUAAGGUAACGGCUUACCAAGGCAACGAUGCAUAGCCGACCUGCGAGGGUGAUCGGCCACACUGGAAGUGAGACACGGUCCAGACUCCUACGGGAGGCAGCAGUAGGGAAUCUUCCGCAAUGGGCGAAAGCCUGACGGAGCAACGCCGCGUGAGUGAUGAAGGUCUUCGGAUCGUAAAACUCUGUUAUUAGGGAAGAACAUAUGUGUAAGUAGCUGUGCACAUCUUGACGGUACCUAAUCAGAAAGCCACGGCUAACUACGUG
rnacentral:rRNA from 1 species